rnacentral:rRNA from 1 species
UGGGGAAUAUUGGACAAUGGGCGAAAGCCUGAUCCAGCCAUGCCGCGUGUGUGAAGAAGGUCUUCGGAUUGUAAAGCACUUUAAGCUGGGAGGAAGGGCAGUAAGCGAAUACCUUGCUGUUUUGACGUUACCGACAGAAUAAGCACCGGCUAACUCUGUGCCAGCAGCCGCGGUAAUACAGUGGGUGCAAGCGUUAAUCGGAAUUACUGGGCGUAAAGCGCGCGUAGGUGGUUCGUUAAGUUGAAUGUGAAAGCCCCGGGCUCAACCUGGGAACUGCAUCCAAAACUGGCGAGCUAGAGUAGGGCAGAGGGUGGUGGAAUUUCCUGUGUAGCGGUGAAAUGCGUAGAUAUAGGAAAGAACACCAGUGGCGAAGGCGACCACCUGGGCUCAUACUGACACUGAGGUGCGAAAGCGUGGGGAGCAAACAGG